CUUAGGCAUCGUUUUUAAAAAACAGAUACGGUGCUGUUGUUUUUUUUUUAUAUGUUUGGGCUAGAAUAUAUGAAGAUGCAAGACCCUCCACAUCCUUCAGAAAGAACGCAAGACAAUCCAGAUUCCUCAGAAAUGAUGCAAGACAUUCCAGAUUCCCCAAGAACAGUGCAAGACACUCCAGAAAUUUCAAGAACGAUGCAAAAUACUCCAGAUUCUUUGGGUAUCACAACAGGAACUGUUGAUGAAAAUAGUGGAAAAUCCAAGGCAAAAAAAUCCAAAGGACAUCGUUGUUAUUUUUGUGGUCAAAAAUUUCUAGAAAAAAAAAUUGUUGAAAAAACAUAUUACUAGCCACAAAGAAAGACCUUAUGCAUGCGAACUGUGCGACAAGACAUUUUGUGACAAAGGAAUCCUUUAUAAACAUCAGUUAGUACAUAGUCAGCUGAAACAACAUCUUUGCGAAAUUUGUGGCAAGACUUUUUAAACAGAGAUGGCAUUUGUCGAAGCAUAGACAAAGACAUUCAGACAAAGAUUCGCCUUCAACAAUAAAUGUAUGUUUAAUUUGUGGAAAGAGAGUACGGUCAAAGACUGAUCCAAUUUGCUUUAUUUGUGUGCAUCAAGGGAAGAAUGUCGAUAAAGAUGGAAAAUUUCUUUGCAUGUUGUGCCAUGAAACUUUUGACAGCUCAAAGUUGUUAGAUGACCAUAUGUUCCUCCAUGCUACUGCAGUUGAAGAUGACUUAUGUUCGAACGACAUGGCUUCUCCACCUAAGAUAAUACCAUUUUCAUGCCUUACUUGCCAUCGUCAAUUUAAAUCCUUAACUGGUUUGAGAGAUCAUUCUACACGCCAUAUAGGAGAUCAACCAUUCUCUUGCAAGCAGUGUGAUUGCACCUUUAGAAAUCCUCACAACUUACGACAGCAUAUGGCCACUCAUGAGGAUAACUCUGAUUAUUUAUGCAAAAUUUGUGACUCCUCUUUUAAAUCUGGUAAAUGUUUGCGUAACCACAUAUUAGCGCACACUUUGCCUUUUGCUUGUGAAAUUUGUGGUAAUGGUUUUAAAACUGCUAAAUGUUUAGAAAAACAUGCUUUGGUUCACGCAGAAGAUCGUCCUUUUGUUUGUAAAAUAUGUGGUUUAAAUUUCAAGUCAUCCAGGACACGACAACGGCAUUAUGCUACCCAUGAAGAUAUUCGUCCUUUUCCUUGUCAUAUUUGUAAGAAGAGAUUUAAAUCAACUUCAAACUUAAAACAACAUUUAAUUUCUCAUUCAACUGUUCAACCUUAUACUUGCAAGGUUUGUGAUAAGGGUUUCAGAUCUUUCAGCAAUUAUGAUCGGCAUCAACGAACUCACACUGGUGAACGCCCGUUCCAAUGUGUAUACUGUGAAAGAAAAUAUACCCAAGCCAGCUCAUUGAAGACACAUAUGUUAGCCAUCCAUUCACAGAUUUCAUCUUUGCAUAAGACUGUAUAAAUUACAUAGGCUAUAAAUGCAGAAAUACAUCAAAAGUGAAUCAGUUUUUAAUUCACAGAGCAUUUUUAACAAGAUUGUUAAGUUUUUUUCUUUUUCUUUAGAGAUGAAUAUUUUUAUCACAAUAUAAAGAACUAAAUAAAUAAA